CUGAGCUGUGUGGAAGGCCAACGACAAAGCAAAGCCAAUCAAUCCCAGAACCAGUUCCUUGGAGGAAACAGGCAGGGAGCUGUGGCACAGAAGACAUGAUUGAAUGGUACAGGGUAGGAGACUGUAGGCAUAGAUACAGCCCUCAGAGGAGGCACGGGGAAGAGUGGCAUUCCAGAUGAGAUUUGAGCAAGGUUCCUGUAGUCAGUGACUAAAUAAACCCUCGUUCAGCUUCCUGGAAGACUGGAGAAGGCAAGAAGCUGGGGAAGGAGUCAGACUGAUCGAGGGAGCUUGAGUACACUGUGCUAUUUCCUGCCUGGGUUUCAUAAAUGUUUGUGAGAAAGAAAGCACAUUAAGGAAUCACAAGUAUGAGCGUAUGCUUUGCAGGUGUCUGAUUCUUGCCGUUUGACCCCUGUCCCCUAAGUCAUCCAAGUUCAAGUCACAGGACGGACAACCCUGCCCAAGCCUGUCAUUACCAGGCAUUAUGUGACUACUUAGAAGAGGCCUCUGUUGCCUCAUGUGCCAUUUCCAUCCGGCUGCAGCUGUCAGUACGGACAGACUUGGUUUCCUUCCUGGAGUCGGCGAGGGCGGCCCCACCCUGUCCUACCAGCUCAAUCAUCUGGAGCAUCACCCACAAGCUGAGAAGAUUCCAGAACACGCCAAGCUCCAAGGCAUGCAAAGAAGGGGCCCUUCUGGGGAGUUCUAAAGCCAGAGGUCUUCUGGAACCCAUUAUAGAGCAACUGUCCAGUGAACUCAGGUCCCUCCAGUCAAGGACUUCUAGGAAGGGCUGGCGGGGAAGCAUGAACUGCAUGGACUGCCCAAGUGUGACCAAGGGUUCUAGACACAUCUGAAGAGGGCAUCGGAUCCCAUUACAGAUGGUUGUGAGCCACCAUGUGGAUGCUGGGAUUUGAACUCGGGACCUCUGGAAGAACAGUCAUUGCUCCUAACCACUGAGCCAUCUCUCCAGCCCUCACUACCACAUUGUUAAAUGCAGCCCUCCGCUACCUCCUAAGUCCAGAGUGCCUUGUGUUCUCAUACUGACCACCAGGAUCGGAUGGUUUGACUUCUUCCUGAUGUCUGUGGAACUACCUAGGCCAUCAAGAGAGUGCACAUCUGAAAAGCCACCAAGUAUCUAAAUGAUGUCACUUUAAAAAUCCACCUUGAGCUAUUCCAGAGGCACAAUGGUGGGGUUAGUAGGAGCAGUGAGACUGGACCAAAGAGUGGUCCGUGACUGAAAACACAGAGGGGGAUGCUGAUUCUUGAGUCACUGAACAUCUCCGGGUGAGCUAAACAUCCACAGUGCAUUGUCGAACUUAAGACACAGCAUCCAGUUAACCCACCAGUGAGCUCCCCUGCCUCAUCAAGAUGACCUCAACGAAAACAAACUGUCCCUAACGAGGAGACUGCACUGAAGCAAACCACAUCCCAGGGGAAACUGCAGAACAAAAGCUUUUGGCACCAGAACAAAUUUAGCAUAAAAUGAGUGCAAAUAAAAAAAAAAAACUGGUUCAAAUUGCAGCAUCAUUUUCUUCUUCUUGGAGUCACUAAGUUACUGAGGGUGAGCCCAGCACCAUAGCAAUAUCUUGGUUUUUUAU